UAGCAUUUUGAAAGGAGAGCAAGCUCGCAUUCUUUUAGACAAGGAUGGAGUUAUAUGUAGUUGUUUUGUAUAUCUGAUCCGGAUCACAAUCCUUCUUAAUUACUCCAGCCAAAAAGUUUU
rnacentral:ncRNA from 1 species